GCCCGGGUGGUGAAAUGGUAGACACGCUAGACUCAAAAUCUGGUGAUCGCAAGGUCGUGAGGGUUCAAGUCCCUCUUCGGGCACCA
rnacentral:tRNA from 1 species